GAGAUAUAUUGUGAUCUCUAUCACAAUAUCAUCGAAACUUUUUUCGAUGGAUUGGAACAUUUCCAAUUCUACCUUUCGAGGGCCAUCGAUCAUCAAGAUGAUGUUCGAUGAGUCUCACAAUCCACCAGUGAUAUAUAGCAGUAUAUAGUGAUAACCUAGUAGGAUGAAAGUAUGAAUUUUUAGGUGCAAUUAUCGUAUGAUUCAGUUCUUCUAUCGU
rnacentral:lncRNA from 1 species